rnacentral:rRNA from 1 species
GACGAACGCUGGCGGCGUGCCUAAUACAUGCAAGUAGAACGCUGAGGAGAGGAGCUUGCUCUUCUUGGAUGAGUUGCGAACGGGUGAGUAACGCGUAGGUAACCUGCCUUGUAGCGGGGGAUAACUAUUGGAAACGAUAGCUAAUACCGCAUAACAAUGGAUGACACAUGUCAUUUAUUUGAAAGGGGCAAUUGCUCCACUACAAGAUGGACCUGCGUUGUAUUAGCUAGUAGGUGAGGUAACGGCUCACCUAGGCGACGAUACAUAGCCGACCUGAGAGGGUGAUCGGCCACACUGGGACUGAGACACGGCCCAGACUCCUACGGGAGGCAGCAGUAGGGAAUCUUCGGCAAUGGGGGCAACCCUGACCGAGCAACGCCGCGUGAGUGAAGAAGGUUUUCGGAUCGUAAAGCUCUGUUGUAAGUCAAGAACGAGUGUGAGAGUGGAAAGUUCACACUGUGACGGUAGCUUACCAGAAAGGGACGGCUAACUACGUGCCAGCAGCCGCGGUAAUACGUAGGUCCCGAGCGUUGUCCGGAUUUAUUGGGCGUAAAGCGAGCGCAGGCGGUUUGAUAAGUCUGAAGUUAAAGGCUGUGGCUCAACCAUAGUUCGCUUUGGAAACUGUCAAACUUGAGUGCAGAAGGGGAGAGUGGAAUUCCAUGUGUAGCGGUGAAAUGCGUAGAUAUAUGGAGGAACACCGGUGGCGAAAGCGGCUCUCUGGUCUGUAACUGACGCUGAGGCUCGAAAGCGUGGGGAGCGAACAGGAUUAGAUACCCUGGUAGUCCACGCCGUAAACGAUGAGUGCUAGGUGUUGGAUCCUUUCCGGGAUUCAGUGCCGCAGCUAACGCAUUAAGCACUCCGCCUGGGGAGUACGACCGCAAGGUUGAAACUCAAAGGAAUUGACGGGGGCCCGCACAAGCGGUGGAGCAUGUGGUUUAAUUCGAAGCAACGCGAAGAACCUUACCAGGUCUUGACAUCCCGAUGCUAUUUCUAGAGAUAGAAAGUUACUUCGGUACAUCGGUGACAGGUGGUGCAUGGUUGUCGUCAGCUCGUGUCGUGAGAUGUUGGGUUAAGUCCCGCAACGAGCGCAACCCCUAUUGUUAGUUGCCAUCAUUCAGUUGGGCACUCUAGCGAGACUGCCGGUAAUAAACCGGAGGAAGGUGGGGAUGACGUCAAAUCAUCAUGCCCCUUAUGACCUGGGCUACACACGUGCUACAAUGGUUGGUACAACGAGUUGCGAGUCGGUGACGGCAAGCUAAUCUCUUAAAGCCAAUCUCAGUUCGGAUUGUAGGCUGCAACUCGCCUACAUGAAGUCGGAAUCGCUAGUAAUCGCGGAUCAGCACGCCGCGGUGAAUACGUUCCCGGGCCU